UGCAUGUAAUCUGUAAAAAGGUUGUUCCUCUUCUGACGUUUAUGGAGAAAACUGUAAUAAAGUCUGUCCAGACAACUGUCAGGGACGUAGAUGUGAUAUCAUUAAUGGGACCUGUUUAAGCUGCACACCUGGCUGGUUAGGAGUACACUGUGACAAAGGUUGUGUAGUUGGAAUGUUUGGUAAAGGUUGCAGCAACCAGUGCAGUGGAAACUGUCUAGAUAACAAUCCAUGCAAUUCAACAACUGGGCACUGUGAUGAUGGAUGUGAUUCAGGAUAUGUAGAACCUUUUUGCAACAAAAGUUGUGAAAUCGGAACGUUUGGUAAAGGUUGCAGCAACAAGUGCAGUGGACACUGUCUAGAUAACGGUCCUUGCAAUUCAACAACUGGGCACUGUGAUAGUGGUUGUGCUUCGGGAUACGAAGAGCCUUUCUGCAACAAAAGUAUGAAUGUUAUCAAUUUUUAUUUUAUCAAUUAAUUCAUUGCAUCAUUGCAUGCGUUAAUUAAGUAGGCCGACUUAAGUUUUC